UCCACAGGUAAUUGUUCAAGCUGCCAUCAGGUGACGGGCCUCCCAGGAGUGAAGAGUGAGGAGCAACAUCAGAGAAAGACGGUGGUGAUGAGAUUACGGCAGCAGCCCCUCAGCACCAGCACACUCUCCUCAUUCUCGCUGUGAUUUGUUUCACGCCUUUGACGCCCCCAAAUGUGUGAGGAAGAGGACUCCAUCACGCAGGUGUAUUGAGGCGAGACACAGUCGAGGAGGAGACAGUAGUAGUAGUCUAUUGCGCUCACCAUCUUCACCAUCCAGUAACAGUGGGGAUCUGUCUAUAAGCAGAAUCGAUGCAGUCAAGAGAGUGAGGUGUUGUGAUAACCAUCCUCUUAGCGACAACCCUCGACGGUACUUGUCCCCAGCAAACUUACACAACAUACACACACACGCGUACACGCCCUCACACACACACACACACACCGCCACCCCAGCGACCACUCUCUCUCGUUCCUCUGUUCGAGAGAAGAUAUCAUCUGAGGACCCAAGUGUUGAUGGCGUUGCCUUCUCGUGCCACCUGCUGCUGCCCUCCGUCGUGUGCACCACUGCUGCCCCCGUCCAGACUCCUAGCACCCGCCACCACCACCACCCGCGUAUGAUGAGGGGGCCAAGCAGUAUUAUCCCGGAGGUUCAUCACGCCCACUGUCAACACAGAUCGUUUUUCCAGUGACUUUUGACCCUUGAUGAAAGAGUUGACCUAGCGUCUGGAUAUGACGUCAUAGAAGAGAAGCCAAAGUAAAAAGUGUUGCUAUGUGAUAAGUCGUAGCUCAAUAUAUUGCCUACAUGACUGUUGUUGUUGGUUGACCUUGCCUUCCCGGGACCCGUGUAGUCGGUGUAUAUAGCGUAGAAAGUCAGGCUUUAAAUUUGUUUUUAAGUAUACGUCAGUAUUGAAUAUAUUCUAUAGUAAUUCUUGUUAACUUUAAAGUGUGUGCUUGGCAGUGUACAGUGAGGUGUAAUCUGUGCGGUUCACGUCGGGAACCGGUCAUUGUCUGUGAUACUGAAACCAAAUGUCUGUGCAGAAAAAUUCCAAUCUAUAGAACACGAAGUUUUAUGAACAGAAACCUAGUCUUAUAUGUGAUAGACUUGUGUAUCAUUCCUGUCUAAAUUUUUCCUAAUAUAAAAAACAAAGACUCGAGAAUUUAUAGCCACUUUUGAGGCAAAGAAAUCUGCAGACCCGGACGUCCAUCGACACACGGCGCAAAGAAUUAUUAUGGAAAUUGGUGCUUAGUCACAAGGAAGGACAGUUAGAGCGGGAUUUAUGGGCAGCGUCUCGAGAGGAGAGAAGAGAGAAGGUUUACGACCAAGACCUUUUCAUUGUUUUAUGACUCGUGAAAUUUGUGGGGCAGCAGAUUAACAGCAGCAGUCUGUGUCGCGAGGCUGUGAGAUAUGUCGCACAGGAUUAAGAAAAAUUAAUAAAGAAUUGAAGCAUCAGGCGGCACCGUGUGAGGGUUGAGAGGGACGUGUACAGGCUGCUGUACCUCCUCGGCUGCGGCUUUGUCUCUGCUGCAGCUGCACACUGACGCUGCAUAUUGUCGGUCAACACACGAGGCCGGCGGCCACUCCAGCCAACGCCCUGUUGAUUCGCCUCUGUCAACACCUUGAAUUGUUCCAUUUUCUUUUAGUAAGGAAGGAAAGGUAAACUUGGUCAUUUUUAAUCACUGAUCUCGUCAGCUGUAAGUGAAAACGAUAUAUAUAUAUAUAUAUAUAUAUUUUAAUUUUGACACAAGUGGAGUAAACACGUAGCUGACGGUGACAAUUAUUAACGAGGUACACAAAGGUUGGUCACCACUCACUCAGUCACGUUUAUUUGAAGAAGGAUUUGCCGAAGUCAUCAUUUAUCACUUGACUAACACUAUAGUGUGAAGCUCCGGCUAGACCUUGACGAACUGAGUUAUAAAGAAUCACACACCAUCCCUUAGAACGUUGCUUCUGCAGGUAAAAAGACGAAAAGUGAACAAUAGUGAGGACUUUUAAAACACGAGCAGAAAAAAGCACCGAAAAAAAAGUGUUUGUAAACAACCUUCUUUGUGUAACAGAAAACAGUGACGUGAUAACAAGAGUUGAAUAGGAAGCCCUCGUCAGUCAGGCUCUAAGAUCCCCUUCUGUCACAUCCUUGUCACAUCCCGUCACAGCCACGACGUCGACAAGAAUAAGAGGGUCGAACGCCUUUGACAUCUUGAAGUAGACUGAGCUGAGCCACCUCUCUCAUGUUCCUCCAGUGAACCAUCACGGUUAAGACUUAGUGUACCAACAGACAAUAGGCCAGAGAGUUUUUAUGAAUAGUGGUUUAUGAAAGACUGAUUUAAAAAAAAUAUUUUGAAACUGGAUUUUAGACUUGAUUUUUAAUUUGAUAGUGAGGGGCCACACGAGCACUUGAUAGCCAUAAUGGUGAAGAUGGUGCCUCGCCGCGGCUGGCUGCGGCUUUCUUUCUUAGGCUUACUGGCCGCAUGCGCCCUGGUGUACGUGUACUAUUACUCAUCCGGCACACCCAACCCCCACCUGCUCAAGGAUAAGCCGCAGGAGGCAGCGAGGGGAGCCGGAGGGGAGCGGCGGGCGGAGAGGCAGAGUGAGUUGGUGGACGACGGUCAGGGUCAAG